UCCCUGAAAGAUGAUCAGGUAGAUAGGUUUGGAGUGGAAGUGUAGCGAUACAUGGAGCGGACAAAUACUAAUCGAUCGAGGACUUAACCAA
rnacentral:rRNA from 1 species